UGAAGCACUGGACAACAUUUUAAAAAGUAGGCACUGAAUGAAAGAUAAUGGAAGGUGGAAACCCCAGCUUCCAAUGAUGACAUAAUAAUGCCCCCCUAGCUGACCUCUUUAAAACAGUUUCCCGACUUGUGGAAGUGGAAAAGCACUGGUGAGGGCAGUCUCUGAAAUCAUUUACUCCAGUGUACAAGUCAGCUCUCAGCGGUGAGAACACCAAGAAGAGAGACACGAUUAGUUCCGCAGUGGAAAAGAGAAUUUUUUAAAAAUCCUAAUUCUUCAAAUGUAGAAAUGGAACUAUUAAAUAUCCUGUAUUUAUCAGGGGGUAUUUUUGCAAUCAACUCAAACUAGAAUCAGGGAAAAUCAAAAGGAGAGGACUGUGUAUAUGCACAUGUUGGGGAUAGAGGUGAAAGUCCCUGAGAGACAGUUCUCCGGUUACGGGCUUUUCCUUUGUCCCUUAAAUCGGACAGACACUGUCCUAAACAAUGCCGCCAGGCCUGGAGCAGCGUGAAUUGCUGCCAGGGAGAUUAAAAAUAACCACCAAGGGCUGGCCCAGGAUGAUCUCGCUCAGGUCCUGGCCUCUCCUGCUCAGGUCCUGGCCUCUCCCAGGAGGCUGUGCGGCCGGCAGGAUGGAUCUUUAGCAUCUCCUACUCCUGGGCUGGCCUGUUCCUUGCCCUGGGUCCUCCCAAUGUGUUGAAUGCCUCAGCUGUCCAGAGGAGCACCACACCCAGGCCUGCCCUCCUCGGAAUGUGGCUGUGACCCGAGAGCAAUGUUUCUGCCCAUCUUUCUGUUUACUUCUCCUAAGCCUCGGUGACCUUAGCAGGAGGCUGAGGUGGGAGAACCACUUGAGCUCGUGAGUUUGACUGCAGCCUGGAGAACACGUACUGGAGAUUGAACCUACCCAGCGCUAGGCAGGCUCUGUGCCACUGAGCUACAUCCCUGACCCCUGCAACACACCCAUAUUUUAAAAAAUGGGCACAGGACUUGAACAGACAUUACUCCAAGUGGCAGGCGAAAACAGUAAGAGGUGGUUUGAUUCUUCCAUUUUGACUCUAGACCACAAACAAUAAAGACUUCCAAGUCUCCUUGGAUCCGUGUAACAGAAAAUUGUUCGAUGUGGUGGGCAGAAGGCCCGGAAGCUGUGGCUGGCCUGGGAGAGUGACUGGCCCGAGCUUCCCCUCCCGACCACCCUGCAGAAGAGAAGUCACCGUCCCUGCAUGGCAGAGCUGUGUUACUACCAAACACAAGUGCGAGGAAGGCUUUUUCUCUGCCAGGGUAACUGCACGGAGCCUUCACUUCUCCCUGCCGUGGACAGCCAGCCGGCCAGGCUCCUCGGAGCUCUCAGUUCGGCCUUGACCUUGGCCCCUGUCCUCGCUAACCGGGUGUGACCCAAGUUUUAGCAAGAAUCUGAUCGAGCUCCAUCUCUCCCCUGUUGUGAUGCUCCUAUUCCAAGAGCCCCAAAUAAAGUCAUCGUUAUUUAACAAGUGUCAAAUUAAUUUUUGAAUACAUUUCAGCAGGAAGCUUAGAGGUUUUAAAAUUUUUUUAGCAUUGCAGAAGCAACAGUUGGGGGAGUGGGUCAUAGUUACUGGCAUAGUAGCCAAUAAUCUAGCCAACCAUUGAACUGUGUUCUGGUAAAUGAAACCCAACAUUUGCUCACUAGAGCCAUGGCUACAUGACCUGCUCACAGCUGCAAUAUUUAAUGGUUGCAUCAGAGCUCUCCUGGGAGAAAGGAGAAGAAAUUAUCCAUGAAGACUCAAAAAUCAGGGUCUGGCCUAUGGAUUUAGCUCAGUGG